rnacentral:rRNA from 1 species
UCAGCAGCCCGGGUAAUUCCAGCUCCAAUAGCGUAUAUUAAAGUUGCUGCGGUUAAAAAGCUCGUAGUUGGAUCCCAGUUGCAGACGGGCGGUCCGCCUCAUGGCGGUUCACUGCCCCGUUCUCGACAUACCUCCGGUUAUAUUUGUCCCGCGAUGCUCUUUACCGGGUGUCGCGGGGGGCCGGUACGUUUACUUUGAAAAAAUUAGAGUGCUCAAAGCAGGCGAUGGCCAGAAUAAUGGUGCAUGGAAUAAUGGAAUAGGACCUCGGUUCUAUCUUGUUGGUUCUUCGGAACACGAGGUAAUGAUUAAUAGGGACGGACGGGGGCAUUCGUAUUGCGACGUUAGAGGUGAAAUUCUUGGAUCGUCGCAAGACGAACUACUGCGAAAGCAUUUGCCAAGAAUGUUUUCGUUAAUCAAGAACGAAAGUUAGAGGUUCGAAGGCGAUCAGAUACCGCCCUAGUUCUAACCAUAAACGAUGCCAACCAGCGAUCCGUCGGCGUUACUUCGAAUGACCCGACGAGCAGCUUCCGGGAAACCAAAGUUUCUGGGUUCCGGGGGAAGUAUGGUUGCAAAGCCGAAACUUAAAGGAAUG